rnacentral:rRNA from 1 species
CCUACGGGCGGCAGCAGUGAGGAAUAUUGGUCAAUGGGCGAGAGCCUGAACCAGCCAAGUAGCGUGAAGGAUGACAGCCCUAUGGGUUGUAAACUUCUUUUAUAAAGGAAUAAAACGCGCCACGUGUGCCUUUUUGUAUGUACCUUAUGAAUAAGCAUCGGCUAAUUCCGUGCCAGCAGCCGCGGUAAUACGGAAGAUGCGAGCGUUAUCCGGAUUUAUUGGGUUUAAAGGGAGCGUAGGCGGGUUGUUAAGUCAGCUGUUAAAGUUUGCGGCUCAACCGUAACAUUGCAGUUGAUACUGGGAGACUUGAGUAUGCGUGGGGUAGACGGAAGUCGUGGUGUAGCGGUGAAAUGCUUAGAUAUCACGAAGAACCCCGAUUGCGAAGGCAUUGUACUAAAGUAAGACUGACAUUGAUGCUCGAAAGUGCGGGUAUCAAACAGGAUUAGAUACCCCAGUAGUC